AACGCUGGCGGCGUGGAUUAGGCAUGCAAGUCGAACGCGAAAGUCCUUCGGGGAGCGAGUAGAGUGGCGAAAGGGUGAGUAAUGCUUGGAUGACCUGCCCUCGAGACGGGGACAACAGUUCGAAAGGACUGCUAAUACCCGAUAGUCCGGUUUAGAUGCGUCUAGAUCGGUAAAUGGUGCUUCCGCUCGAGGAGGGGUUCAAGUCCUAUCAGCUUGUUGGUGAGGUAACGGCUCACCAAGGCGAUGACGGGUAGCCGGACUGAGAGGUUGGCCGGCCACAUGGGAACUGAGACACUGUCCUGACUCCUACGGGAGGCUGCAGUCGAGAAUCUUCUGCAAUGGGCGAAAGCCUGACAGAGCGACGCCGCGUGGAGGAUGAAGGCCCUCGGGUCGUAAACUCCUGUCACAUGUUAUGAAACGCACAGGUCUACCUGUGCGCUGACAAAAGCAUGAGAGGAAGUCACGGCUAACUUCGUG
rnacentral:rRNA from 1 species